rnacentral:rRNA from 1 species
CAGAGACUGCGAGCGCUAUUCGGAUUCACUGGGCGUAAAGGGUGCGCAGGCGGCCGAGUGUGUGAGGCGUGAAAGCCCGGGGCUUAACCCCGGAAUUGCACCUCAAACUACACGGCUAGAGCAUUGGAGAGGGUAGCAGAAUUCAUGGUGUAGCAGUGAAAUGCGUAGAUAUCAUGAGGAAUACCAGAGGCGAAGGCGGCUACCUGGACAAUUGCUGACGCUCAGGCACGAAAGCGUGGGGAGCAAAAGGGAUUAGAUACCCCUGUAGUCCACGCCCUAAACGGUGCACACUAGGUCUUGGCGGAUUCGACCCCACCAGGGCCCCAGCUAACGCGUUAAGUGUGCCGCCUGAGGACUACGGCCGCAAGGCUA